AUUACAGAGAAGGCUUUCAGUACAAAAGCUGAAAUACAGGCAUGUGUUACCGUGACAAAGUUGCCAAACUGUCUGUAUUUUAAAGCCCUGUUUUCAGAUGUACAUUUCUGCCUUGAUGUGGGUGGUUUGUCUUUUUUUUUUUUUUUCCUGCUUCAUAUCUCUUGAGUUUCUAUUAAGCUCUCAGUAUAAAAUAGGACACUGGAUCACCAUCCCCAAGAACAUCUCUUCCAAAAGUGACCUCAGAACCGUCAGUGGAUGACCUCUCCAACAAGAUGUCUACAAACUUCAGAUCAUAAGCAUUUGGUAGGCUGUGAAAUUGAUUAUUCGAGAACCCAAAACAUCAGUCAAUCUUUAAUGAAAUAAUACAGAGUCUCAGAAGAUCCCAUCUUAGAUGAAAAGUCUAAGCAAACAUGAAUGGAAUGGGCAAACACCAAAUUCAAGGUCCACCAGGACUUUGCCAGCAUGGACAGAGACUAUAGGAGAUACAAAUAUGUCUGUGGUUUAUUUUCUCAAGCUGAUGUAAAAUCUGAAACAAAAACGACAGAAUGGUGACAUUUUACAAGGGCCUUGGACAUGCCUGACAAGCAUUCUGCCUCUGAGCUGCACACAUAAUCAGAAUGAGUCCUUCACACACCACAACCAACGUAGCACCCAUAACCAACGCCAUUACAAAACACCAAUGUGUGAUGUCAUAGAAAGUCUAUUGCCAAGUCAUGUUAAAAACGAUAAAUAUCUACACACUUGAUGUGAUGUGUCCUCGUGGUGCGAAGCAGGGUUCCUUAUAUAGUUGAUCGUCUGUUGAAUGCAGGCAGGCUCGUGGAUGACCAGGGUUUCUGCCCCAGCCUAGACCAUGCUUCCUCUGUCACCAAAAGACUUAUGACCACUGGGCGACCACUUCUACUGCACUCUCCCCACACGGGGAAUAGAGACUGAAUGAGCUCAAGUCUGUUAAAGUCAUUUAUAGACCGUGAUGGACCUAACCAACAGAGCCCAGACCUCACCAGACUCGUCCCAUGAGUGCAGAGAAAGACACUCUGUCACUCAUGCUGAGUUAUCACAAUGUCCUACAUGAGAAGGGAGCUUUCUGGCCUCCCUGGGAGCCUCGAGUUAAAAAAAAAAAAAAAAAAGCACUGACUGAGAUAGAUUUUAAAGCAAAGUAGAGGUGGGAGGCUGCCUUUGUUACCCUGGGCCCUAAAGCCCCAUGCUUGGAAAACAUCUGUGUUUUCUGGUCUAUGCCAGGAGUCAGCGUUUCCAGUCCACAUGGCCUGCUUGCUGUGAGUGCUGUAUGGAGGGGGUGGCCAAGAGGCAGCGGAUAACAUCCUCUCCCCUUGGUUUCCUCGGCCACUCUCCCCAUCUCGCUUCUGCCAGACACAGAAUUCCUCUCUUCUUCUGCCCAGAAAACAAAUGCUUGCACUCACUUCUGCAAGCGGACCUCUGCGAGGAGGAGGAGCAGGUCGGUUGCCAAGGCUGGAGCCCUGAGGGCCCAGCUCAGGUUACCCAUCCUGUGUUUACAUCUCCAGAUUUGCUUUCAUCUCAUUUGAUUCGGAGCAGAAGGGGUUGAGGGACCAGAGUUGGGCAUGCCACCACGUUAACAAUGAGUCUCUGAGUU